AUGCCCCUGCAAGUUCCACAGCGGCGCGAAGCCGUCCAACCACACGACCCGAAAGUGCCACUGGCUCACCCGGAUCUCCAAGGGCGAGGGGCUGGUGCCGCCUCCGCCUCCUGGCCCGCCGCCUCCAACCCCCAGCAGCCGGCUGCCCGACCAGCAGUCGGAGCCAUUCAAGAUGAGUUCCCUGAUGAGUACGCCGCUUACGUCGUCUUCACAUGCCAAGUUGAAGACAAGCGCAGCCGGCGCCGACAGCACCAAGAGGUCAACGCAGUCGCCUCCAGCAACCCCGAGUUCAUGCAUUGGUUCGAAAGGCCUAUCAACUGGAGCCGGGCCGAUCACCCAGAGGUGAUGCCGUCCCCUGGCUCCUACGCAUUGGUGUUGGAUGUCACCCUCGCAACAGAGAGGCGGGCUGCCCGAUUCUCCUGCGUUCUGAUCGAUGGCGGAAGCAGUAUCAACAUACUGUACCGCGACACCAUGGAGAAGUUGAACCUCAAGGCGAAGCAGCUCAUGCCAAGCCGGACCGUUUUCCAUGGCAUCGUACCCGGCCUGUCCUGUUCCCCGAUCAGCAAGAUCAAGAUGGAUGUCCUCUUCGGAGACAAGGAUCACUUUCGUCGAGAAGCAAUCUGGUUCGAGGUAGUGGAUCUGGAAAGCCCUUACCACACCUUGCUUGGCCGACCUGCUCUGGCCAAGUUCAUGGCUGUGCCCCACUAUGCCUACCUGAAGAUGAAGAUGCCGAGCUCGAAGGGGAUCAUCACUGUAGCCGGCGACUACAAGAAGUCCAUCGAGUGCGCUGCAGCCAGCAGCCGGCUGGCCGAGUCCCUCGUAGUGGCGGAAGAGAAGAAGAUGCUGGAGCGAGUUGUGGCCAUGGCCGGCAAGCAGCCGGCCUUGUCCCCCAACCCCAAGGAAUAUGAUGCGCAGGGCUCCUUCCAGCCGGCCAAGGAGACGAAGAAGAUACCUCUGGACCCGGAGAACCCGGAGAGGUUCGCAGUCAUUGGUGCAAACCUGGACAGUAAAUAG
rnacentral:rRNA from 1 species